rnacentral:rRNA from 1 species
UACGUAGGGUGCAAGCGUUGUCCGGAAUUAUUGGGCGUAAAGAGCUCGUAGGCGGUCUGUCGCGUCGGCUGUGAAAACCCGGGGCUCAACCCCGGGCCUGCAGUCGGUACGGGCAGACUAGAGGUAGGUAGGGGAGAAUGGAAUUCCCGGUGUAGCGGUGAAAUGCGCAGAUAUCGGGAGGAACACCGGUGGCGAAGGCGGUUCUCUGGGCCUUACCUGACGCUGAGGAGCGAAAGCGUGGGGAGCGAACAGG